GGUUACUGCUAUCGAGAUUCGAUUAAGCCAUGCGAGUUGAAUGUUCUUCGUGAACAUGGCGGACUGCUCAGUAACACGUGGACAACCUACCCUUGGAUCUGGGAUAAACCCGGGAAACUGGGCAUAAUACCGGAUAAGCCACAUAUGCUGGAAUGCUUUGUGGUUCAAAGCUCCGGCGUCCAAGGAUGGGUCUGCGGCCUAUCAGGGUAGUAGUGGGUGUAAUGUACCUACUAGCCUACGACGGGUACGGGUUGUGAGAGCAAGAGCCCGGAGAUGGAUUCUGAGACACGAAUCCAGGCCCUACGGGGUGCAGCAGGCGCGAAAACUUUACAAUGCGGGAAACCACGAUAAGGGAAUCUCGAGUGCCAGCAUAUAAUGUUGGCUGUCCAGAUGCCUAAAAAGCAUUUGUUAGCAAGGGCCGGGCAAGACCGGUGCCAGCCGCCGCGGUAACACCGGCGGCCCGAGUGGUAACCGUUAUUAUUGGGUCUAAAGGGUCUGUAGCCGGCCGAAUAAGUCUCUUGGGAAAUCUGGCAGCUUAACUGUCAGGCAGUCAGGGGAUACUGUUCGGCUUGGGACCGGGAGAGGUGAGAGGUACCUCGGGGGUAGGGGUGAAAUCUUGUGAUCCUCGAGGGACCACCAGUGGCGAAGGCGUCUCACCAGAACGGGUCCGACGGUAAGGGACGAAAGCUAGGGGCACGAACCGGAUUAGAUACCCGGGUAGUCCUAGCCGUAAACGAUGCUUGCUAGGUGUCAGCCACGGUGCGACCGUGGUUGGUGCCGUAGGGAAGCCGUGAAGCGAGCCACCUGGGAAGUACGGCCGCAAGGCUGAAACU
rnacentral:rRNA from 1 species